AGUGAACGCUGGCGGUAGGCCUAACACAUGCAAGUCGAACGGCAGCACAGGAGAGCUUGCUCUCUGGGUGGCGAGUGGCGGACGGGUGAGGAAUACAUCGGAAUCUGCCCAGUCGUGGGGGAUAACGUAGGGAAACUUACGCUAAUACCGCAUACGACCUUCGGGUGAAAGAGGGGGAUCGCAAGACCUCUCGCGAUUGGAUGAGCCGAUGUCGGAUUAGCUAGUUGGCGGGGUAAUGGCCCACCAAGGCGACGAUCCGUAGCUGGUCUGAGAGGAUGAUCAGCCACACUGGAACUGAGACACGGUCCAGACUCCUACGGGAGGCAGCAGUGGGGAAUAUUGGACAAUGGGCGCAAGCCUGAUCCAGCCAUACCGCGUGGGUGAAGAAGGCCUUCGGGUUGUAAAGCCCUUUUGUUGGGAAAGAAGUCUUUCAGGCUAAUACCCUGGGAGGAUGACGGUACCCAAAGAAUAAGCACCGGCUAACUUCGUG
rnacentral:rRNA from 1 species